rnacentral:rRNA from 1 species
CAGCCGCCGCGGUAAUACGGAGGGAGCUAGCGUUAUUCGGAAUUACUGGGCGUAAAGCGCACGUAGGCGGCUUUGUAAGUUAGAGGUGAAAGCCUGGAGCUCAACUCCAGAAUUGCCUUUAAGACUGCAUCGCUUGAAUCCAGGAGAGGUGAGUGGAAUUCCGAGUGUAGAGGUGAAAUUCGUAGAUAUUCGGAAGAACACCAGUGGCGAAGGCGACUGACUGGACAAGUAUUGACGCUGAGGUGCGAAAGCGUGGGGAGCAAACAGGAUUAGAUACCCCUGUAGUCCCUGUCUCUUAUAC